GUGUUGUAGGAAAGGAGAGAAGGAUAGCAUUCCCUUUGUUAAGGAUGGACGAGGUCCCAGCAGCCUUUAAAACACAUAUACAGUUAAGACAUCUAAUGUGGAAACAUGCUUAAUAUGAUUGCAAAUGUAU